rnacentral:rRNA from 1 species
UACGAAGGGGCUAGCGUUGCUCGGAAUUACUGGGCGUAAAGCGCACGUAGGCGGCUUUCUAAGUCGGGGUGAAAUCCUGGAGCUCAACUCCAGAACUGCCUUCGAUACUGGAGAGCUCGAGUCCGGGAGAGGUGAGUGGAACUGCGAGUGUAGAGGUGAAAUUCGUAGAUAUUCGCAAGAACACCAGUGGCGAAGGCGGCUCACUGGCCCGGUACUGACGCUGAGGUGCGAAAGCGUGGGAGCAAACAGGG